rnacentral:rRNA from 1 species
ACCUUAGCGGCGGACGGGUGAGUAUAACUUAGGAAUCUACCUAUUAGUGGGGGACAACGUUUCGAAAGAGACGCUAAUACCGCAUACGCCCUACGGGGGAAAGCAGGGGCUCUUCGGACCUUGCGCUAAUAGAUGAGCCUAAGCCGGAUUAGCUAGUUGGUAGGGUAAAGGCCUACCAAGGCAACGAUCUGUAGCGGGUUUGAGAGGAUGAUCCGCCACACUGGGACUGAGACACGGCCCAG